rnacentral:rRNA from 1 species
GACGAACGCUGGCGGCGUGCCUAAUACAUGCAAGUAGAACGCACAGUUUAUACUGUAGCUUGAUACACCAUAGACUGUGAGUUGCGAACGGGUGAGUAACGCGUAGGUAACCUGCCUGGUAGCGAGGGAUAACUAUUGGAAACGAUAGCUAAUACCGCAUAAUAUUAAUUAUUGCAUGAUAAUUAAUUGAAAGGUGCAAUUGCACCACUACCAGAUGGACCUGCGUUGUAUUAGCUAGUAGGUGAGGUAACGGCUCACCUAGGCGACGAUACAUAGCCGACCUGAGAGGGUGGUCGGCCACACUGGGACUGGGACACGGCCCAGACUCCUGCGGGAGGGAGCAGUAGGGUAUCUUCGGCAAUGGACGAAAGUCUUGCCGAACGACGCCGCGUGAGUGAAGAAGGUGUUCGGAUCGUAAAGCUCUGUUGUAAGAGGAGAACGGGUGUGGGAGUGGAAAGUUCACACUGUGACGGUAUCUUACAAGAAAGGGACGGCUAACUACGUG